rnacentral:rRNA from 1 species
GACGAACGCCGGCGGCGUGCUUAACACAUGCAAGUCGAACGGUGAAGGGAUCAGCUUGCUGGUUCUGGAUGAGUGGCGAACGGGUGAGUAACACGUGAGUAACCUGCCCCCUUCUUCUGGAUAACCGCAUGAAAGUGUGGCUAAUACGGGAUAUUCUGGGUCUGUCGCAUGAUGGGUCUGGGAAAGAUAUUGUUUCGGUGGGGGAUGGGCUCGCGGCCUAUCAGCUUGUUGGUGGGGUGAUGGCCUACCAAGGCGGUGACGGGUAGCCGGCCUGAGAGGGGGGACGGUCCCACUGGGACUGAGACACGGCCCAGACUCCUACGGGAGGCAGCAGUGGGGAAUAUUGCACAAUGGGCGCAAGCCUGAUGCAGCGACGCCGCGUGAGGGAUGGAGGCCUUCGGGUUGUAAACCUCUUUCGCCAGUGAAGCAGGCCUGCUCCUUGUGGGUGGGUUGACGGUAGCUGGAUAAGAAGCGCCGGCUAACUACGU